UUAUGCCUAAACUUUGUAUUAUAUAUUUAUAUUUUUAGUUUGUACCCACUUUUAAUUUGUAACAUUUUUUUUUUAAAUUUGUAGUAUUUUCUUUUUAUUUUAUUUUGUACCCAUGUACUAAUUUCUUUUAGCGACUAUAUUUUUAAAAAUUCAUUUGUAUUCAUAAAUUUUAAUCUUUUAUUUGUACCCUAAUUUAUUUCUAAU
rnacentral:lncRNA from 1 species